CUCCACCCGAGACUCAGUGAAAUUGAACUCGCUGUGAAGAUGCAGUGUACCCGCGGCAAGACGGAAAGACCCCGUGAACCUUUACUAUAGCUUGACACUGAACAUUGAGCCUUGAUGUGUAGGAUAGGUGGGAGGCUUGGAAGUGUGGACGCCAGUCUGCAUGGAGCCGACCUUGAAAUACCACCCUUUAAUGUUUGAUGUUCUAACGUUGACCCGUAAUCCGGGUUGCGGACAGUGUCUGGUGGGUAGUUUGACUGGGGCGGUCUCCUCCUAAAGA
rnacentral:rRNA from 1 species